AGUGAACGCUGGCGGUAUGCCUAACACAUGCAAGUCGAACGGCAGCACAGUAAGAGCUUGCUCGUACGGGUGGCGAGUGGCGGACGGGUGAGGAAUACAUCGGAAUCUACUUUUUCGUGGGGGAUAACGUAGGGAAACUUACGCUAAUACCGCAUACGACCUACGGGUGAAAGCAGGGGAUCUUCGGACCUUGCGCGAUUGAAUGAGCCGAUGUCGGAUUAGCUAGUUGGCGGGGUAAAGGCCCACCAAGGCGACGAUCCGUAGCUGGUCUGAGAGGAUGAUCCGCCACACUGGAACUGAGACACGGUCCAGACUCCUACGGGAGGAAGCAGUGGGGAAUAUUGGACAAUGGGCGCAAGCCUGAUCCAGCCAUACCGCGUGGGUGAAGAAGGCCUUCGGGUUGUAAAGCCCUUUUGUUGGGAAAGAAAAGCAGCAGGUUCAUGCCCCGCUGUUAUGACGGUACCCAAAGAAUAAGCACCGGCUAACUUCGUG
rnacentral:rRNA from 1 species